CUACGGGGUGCUCCAGUGAGGAAUAUUGCACAAUGGGGGGAACCCUGAUGCAGCAACGCCGCGUGGAGGAUGACGCAUUUCGGUGUGUAAACCCCUUUUAUAUGUCAAGAAAAUGACGGUAGCAUAUGAAUAAGCACCGGCUAACUCCGUGCCAGCAGCCGCGGUAAUACGGAGGGUGCAAGCGCUACUCGGAAUCACUGGGCGUGAAGGACGCGUAGGCGGGUUGGAAAGUCAGGUGUGAAAUCCUACAGCUUAACAGUAGAACUGCACUUGAAACUUCUAAUCUAGAGGAUGGGAGGGGGAGAUGGAAUUAGUGGUGUAGGGGUAAAAUCCGUAGAUAUCACUAGGAAUACCUAAAGCGAAGGCGAUCUCCUGGAACAUUACUGACGCUAAGGCGUGAAAGCGUGGGGAGCAAACAGGAUUAGAUACCCGGGUAGUC
rnacentral:rRNA from 1 species